rnacentral:lncRNA from 1 species
AUAUAAACAGGUGGAAGAAACAUUUUAACAAACAGUUAAAGGGUAUCAUUUACGGUAAAGGCCAAAUAUUUGAUAAAAGAAAAAUUAUUUAAAUAAAACAUUUUACAUGUUGAGGUUAAGAAUGAGCUAUUUUUAGGUACAUAAUAUAACAUUAACAUACAAUUUUUACAAAAGAAUGAAGUAACAUUUUGUCAAAAAAAAGAAGAUGAAGUAACAUACCAAUUAUAUAACAUUGACAUAUAAUUUUAACAAAAGAAUGAAGUAACACACGAUUGAUAAAAAUUAAUAUUUUUAAGGUGAAUAAGUGUGGUGUCUGAGGUUCGAAUUCCAACAUCUGCAUAUAUUUGAGACCACAUAUUUCAUUCUCUUUGAUAUACAUUGAGAUUUGUUUUUAUCUACUACAUCUACAA